UACGUAGGCAGCAAGCGUUGUUCGGAGUUACUGGGCGUAAAGGGUGUGUAGGCGGUUCUUUUAAGUUUGGUGUGAAAUCUCCCGGCUCAAUUGGGAGGGUGCGCCGAAUACUGAGGGACUAGAGUACGGGAGAGGAAAGUGGAAUUCCUGGUGUAGCGGUGAAAUGCGCAGAUAUCAGGAAGAACACCCGUGGCUAAGGCGGCUCUCUAGUACGGUACUGACGCUGAGACGCGAAAGCGUGGGGAGCGAACAGG
rnacentral:rRNA from 1 species